UACGUAGGAGGCGAGCGUUGUCCGGAGUUACUGGGCGUAAAGGGUGCGCAGGCGGCGGUUCGCGUGGAUAGAUGAAAUCUCCUGGCUUACCUGGGAGGAUGGUAUCCAGACGGGAUCGCUUGAGGGUCGGAGAGGGGCGUGGAAUUCCGGGUGGAGCGGUGAAAUGCGUAGAGAUCCGGAGGAACACCGACGGCGUAGGCAGCGCCCUGGACGACACCUGACGCUGAGGCACGAAAGCUGGGGGAGCGAACAGGACUUAGGAAACCCCUGAUGAUGAGA
rnacentral:rRNA from 1 species